rnacentral:rRNA from 1 species
GAUGCAGCCAUGCCGCGUGUAUGAAGAAGGCCUUCGGGUUGUAAAGUACUUUCAGCAGUGAGGAAGGUGGUGUCGUUAAUAGCGGCAUCAUUUGACGUUAGCUGCAGAAGAAGCACCGGCUAACUCCGUGCCAGCAGCCGCGGUAAUACGGAGGGUGCGAGCGUUAAUCGGAAUUACUGGGCGUAAAGCGCAUGCAGGUGGUUUGUUAAGUCAGAUGUGAAAGCCCGGGGCUCAACCUCGGAAUUGCAUUUGAAACUGGCAGACUAGAGUACUGUAGAGGGGGGUAGAAUUUCAGGUGUAGCGGUGAAAUGCGUAGAGAUCUGAAGGAAUACCGGUGGCGAAGGCGGCCCCCUGGACAGAUACUGACACUCAGAUGCGAAAGCGUGGGGAGCAAACAGGAUUAGAUACCCUGGUAGUCCACGCCGUAAACGAUGUCUACUUGGAGGUUGUGGCCUUGAGCCGUGGCUUUCGGAGCUAACGCGUUAAGUAGACCGCCUGGGGAGUACGGUCGCAAGAUUAAAACUCAAAUGAAUUGACGGGGGCCCGCACAAGCGGUGGAGCAUGUGGUUUAAUUCGAUGCAACGCGAAGAACCUUACCUACUCUUGACAUC